GUUACAAUUCAACCGUUUAUAUUAUGCCCUUUCACUAUGUAUAUUUUCAAUGUGUGAUUUCCUUACAAAUAUUUAUAUUGGUGUGUCUUCAUCAAGUUUGUUAUUUGCAUUACUUUUUGACAAUUUUUAGUCUCUCAGCACCAUUCAUCACCAUGAUCAAUAAACACCAUUCCUUCACAUCACACAGAUUCCCAACUUUAAUGUGUUGAACUUGUUG
rnacentral:misc_RNA from 1 species